rnacentral:rRNA from 1 species
UACGGAGGGUGCAAGCGUUGUUCGGAAUUACUGGGCGUAAAGCGUGUCUAGGCGGAAGUGUAAGUCAGGUGUGAAAGACCUUGGCUCAACCAAGGAAUUGCGCCUGAAACUGCGCUUCUUGAAUAGUGGAGAGGUGAGCGGAAUACCUAGUGUAGCAGUGAAAUGCGUAGAUAUUAGGUAGAACACCGGAGGCGAAGGCGGCUCACUGGCCAUUUAUUGACGCUGAAGCACGAAAGCGUGGGUAGCAAACAGG